rnacentral:rRNA from 1 species
UAAGGUGACUAUAGCGGCGGGGUCCACCUCUUCCCAUUCCGAACAGAGAAGUUAAGCCCGCCCGCGCCGAUGGUACUGCGAUUUAGUGGGAGAGUAGGUCGUCGCCCUUC